UAAGAAAAAAGGCUACAUCAAUAUUUUUCCCCUAGUUUAUUUAAAGUAAGAUGAGGAUCGUGAUUGUAAAUAAACUAGGGGAAAAAUAUUGAUGUAGCCUUUUUUCUUA